rnacentral:rRNA from 1 species
GAUGAACGCUGACAGAAUGCUUAACACAUGCAAGUCGACUCGAGUCUUCGGACUUGGGUGGCGCACGGGUGAGUAACGCGUAAAGAACUUGCCUCUUAGACCGGGACAACAUCUGGAAACGGAUGCUAAUACCGGAUAUUAUGGUUUUUUCGCAUGGAGGAAUCAUGAAAGCUGGAUGCGCUAAGAGAGAGCUUUGCGUCCCAUUAGCUGGUUGGUGAGGUAACGGCCCACCAAGGCAAUGAUGGGUAGCCGGCCUGAGAGGGUGAACGGCCACAAGGGGACUGAGACACGGCCCUUACUCCUACGGGAGGCAGCAGUGGGGAAUAUUGGACAAUGGACCGCAAGUCUGAUCCAGCAAUUCUGUGUGCACGAUGACGUUUUUCGGAAUGUAAAGUGCUUUCAGUCGGGAAGAAGUCAGUGACGGUACCGACAGAAGAAGCGACGGCUAAAUACGUGCCAGCAGCCGCGGUAAUACGUAUGUCGCAAGCGUUAUCCGGAUUUAUUGGGCGUAAAGCGCGUCUAGGCGGCAAGGAAAGUCUGAUGUGAAAAUGCGGAGCUCAACUCCGUAUGGCGUUGGAAACUGCCUUACUAGAGUACUGGAGAGGUAGGCGGAACUACAAGUGUAGAGGUGAAAUUCGUAGAUAUUUGUAGGAAUGCCGAUGGGGAAGCCAGCCUACUGGACAGAUACUGACGCUAAAGCGCGAAAGCGUGGGUAGCAAACAGG